rnacentral:rRNA from 1 species
CAGGCUGAGCAUGCCUGAUCACGCCUGAUCUCCUCUGAGCUCAGAAGCUACGUAGGGUCGGGCCUAGAUAGCACUGGAUGGGAGAUCAAUGAGGAAUAACAGGUGCUGUUUGGCCUGA